rnacentral:sRNA from 1 species
GCUUGGGGCUCCUGGCGGCUAUUAUUUCUUAGGUCUCCUGGCCCAGGCUCCAAUUGCGGAUAUUUUCUCGAGUUACCGCCCAGGCAUCCUUUUGUGGCACGUGUCCUCCCAGAGCCUCUCCUUUGACUCCAGCAACCCAGAGUACUUCGACGGCUACUGGGGAUACUCGGUGGCCGUGGGCGAGUUCGACGGGGAUCUCAACACUACAGGCAAGAAAUCCACUUAGGGCGGGAGUUGGGUAGCCCAACCUGGGGAGGAGCGCCUUCCUGAAAUCUCCCCUAUGUAGGGAAAUCUUCCUGCACACAAAUUUUUCCCUGGGUGCAGAACGGGGAGCGGGAAGUGGGUAGGUUCUAAGGCUCUCAUUCCCUGAGCCUGGCUCUCCCUAUCGCCAGAGUAUGUCGUCGGUGCCCCCACUUGGAGCUGGACCCUGGGAGCGGUGGAAAUUUUGGACUCCUACUACCAGAGGCUGCAUCGGCUGCGCGGAGAGCAGAUGGCGUCGUAUUUUGGGCAUUCAGUGGCUGUCACUGACGUCAACGGGGAUGGGAGGCAUGAUCUGCUGGUGGGC